UACGUAGGUGGCAAGCGUUGUCCGGAUUUAUUGGGAGUAAAGAGUGCGUAGGCGGCUGGAGAAGUGAGAUGUGAAAUCUCCCGGCUUAACUGGGAAACUGCAUCGGAAACUGACCGGCUUGAAGGUGGGAGAGGGUAGUGGAAUUCCCGGUGUAGUGGUGAAAUGCGUAGAUAUCGGGAGGAACACCAGUGGCGAAGGCGACUACCUGGCCCAUUCUUGACGCUGAGGCGCGAAAGCUAGGGGAGCGAACGGG
rnacentral:rRNA from 1 species